GGAACAGCAGCAGCAGCAGCAGCAUCAUCUUGGUUUGGGAAUGUAAGCAAGGAGGUAACAGCCUCAGUAACCAGGGCAGCAAAGCGCAUUCUGGAAUCCUGACCGAAAUGAAAAUCAGGUCAAGCAAAGAGUGAAACAGAAAUAAACUUGCUAACAUCUGAACAGCAAAUUCCUCCAUGUACAAAUUCCAAUGGCAAUCCCACAUCUUCACUUCUACCUUACAAGACUCCUUUGUCUUCUGCACUUAUAUUCAGCCUGGUCUUCACAAGAAGAGGUCCCAAAUAUUAAUGUUUUCCUCAAGAUCCUCCUGUAAGUAAGAAUUUUUCUGCUCUGUGACUGAAGCUCAAGUAGUAUAAAUAAUGAGUUAAGUCAGAUAUGGCCAUAUGGCGUGAAGCUCAAAACACUCUAACAUCCUGGUUAGUUACCUGAGGCUCUGAGCUCCACAUUGCUGCGGCUCUCUUGCUGUCAGCACUCAAAAUGGCUAAUUUAAUGCUAGGUUGAGUACAUCUAACCAUGCAGCAGUCAUACGGUGGUUUUCUGAAGAGACGUACUUUCUAGAACAUGCCUUCAUUGCAUGCUAACCUUGGAUUAAAUGAACCAAGGAAAGGGAGCCUGAAGUUCCCUAACUUGCUACAAUGCAGCCCUGCUAUUAUUAAGUCUGCUGCUGAACGUGUGAAAGUGUGGGGGAUCAACAGAAACCUCUCAGAAGCAAAGCCCUGUGGUAGGUGGCACGGCAGCCUUGUCACAAAAUCUACAGAAUUCACUCUGAGGCAGCUCCACUGGAACAAAGCAGAGCAGUACAAGAAACAUCAUUACAGACUGAAAAGGGAGUCUCUACAGGCACCCUUAUUCAGAUCUCCUUGAAGGUGGCUGGAGAGAGAAAGGGUUGGUAUUGGUAAGAAACUAGAAAGCAAAAGUCUCACUAGAGGCAAGAGAAAAAGAGAGAACUGGUGUAAUGAAACAAUACAGAAGAUAAGGGUGAGUGGGGGGAGGAACGCCAGCUCUGGACUGUUGGGUAAUGAGGUGUGCCCGUCCAGCAUCCCAAGGAACAAAUGCUGUUAGAGAACGUACAGGAGCUGCCCAGGCCAAUGUGCUUCACUAGCAGGGGCUUAUUCCUGAGGACUGUGAAUUAUUUCUGCUGACAGUGUGUCACAACCGCUAUCCAGCUGACAUUGCUGAUAUCUGUCACAGUGAUUUGGAAAUAUCCAGUGAUCACAGAAAAUGUGUGAGCAAAGAGAUCGAGAACACCUACCAGAAACAGAAAUCUCAUGUUCCACAAUGUGCCUUGUCCUGGGACACCACAAAACUGUGGAACAAACUCUUACAGAUUUUGCUUUCCCUUGACAAAAGAAGUCAGGACAAUCUGAUUAAGAUGAUGUCUCUCCUAUGUACAUGUAUAGGUCUGUCAGCACCCUUGAGAGUUGAGAAAAAUUUAAUUUAUUUUCAGAGACAUAUUUCUUUCCUUCCCUUCAUUUUUUGUUAUAAACAGAAAGAUUUAUUGGAAUCACUCCUUUCGCUGUAGUUUGCAGGAUUAGUAAUGAGCUCCACUGUCUGAAACGUGAUGCUGGAUAUUAAACAUAGUGCUUCUCAAAAAAAUACGCAAUUCCUGUGAUGAUAUAAACCCAAGCUUUGUUUCUUACUACUCGUAUCUUAUAGAUUGAAACAAAUGUCAUUUUAUUUUUAGAGGUGUACUGCUCUACUGCAGCUUUUCUGAAGUAGUGUUGGAGGUUUUCUAUAGCAAUUCAUGCUUGCUGAA